rnacentral:rRNA from 1 species
GACGAACGCUGGCGGCGUGCUUAACACAUGCAAGUCGAACGGAAAGGCCCUGCUUGCAGGGUACUCGAGUGGCGAACGGGUGAGUAACACGUGGGUGAUCUGCCCUGCACUUCGGGAUAAGCCUGGGAAACUGGGUCUAAUACCGGAUAGGAGCCAUUUUUAGUGUGAUGGUUGGAAAGUUUUUUCGGUGUAGGAUGAGCUCGCGGCCUAUCAGCUUGUUGGUGGGGUAAUGGCCUACCAAGGCGGCGACGGGUAGCCGGCCUGAGAGGGUGGACGGCCACAUUGGGACUGAGAUACGGCCCAGACUCCUACGGGAGGCAGCAGGGGGGAAUAUUGCACAAUGGGCGCAAGCCUGAUGCAGCGACGCCGCGUGGGGGAUGACGGCCUUCGGGUGGUAAACUCCUUUCGCUAGGGACGAAGCUUUUUGUGACGGUACCUAGAUGAGAAGCACCGGCUAACUACGUG